AUCCGGCUGACGAGUCCCAAUCAAGACGAAACGUACGUCUUAGAU
rfam:Schistosoma mansoni strain Puerto Rico chromosome W, complete genome